rnacentral:rRNA from 1 species
GAUGAACGCUGGCGGCGUGCCUAAUACAUGCAAGUCGAGCGAACGGAUGAGAAGCUUGCUUCUCUGAUGUUAGCGGCGGACGGGUGAGUAACACGUGGAUAACCUACCUAUAAGACUGGGAUAACUUCGGGAAACCGGAGCUAAUACCGGAUAAUAUUUUGAACCGCAUGGUUCAAAAGUGAAAGACGGUCUUGCUGUCACUUAUAGAUGGAUCCGCGCUGCAUUAGCUAGUUGGUAAGGUAACGGCUUACCAAGGCAACGAUGCAUAGCCGACCUGAGAGGGUGAUCGGCCACACUGGAACUGAGACAGGGUCCAGACUCCUACGGGAGGCAGCAGUAGGGAAUCUUCCGCAAUGGGCGAAAGCCUGACGGAGCAACGCCGCGUGAGUGAUGAAGGUCUUCGGAUCGUAAAACUCUGUUAUUAGGGAAGAACAUAUGUGUAAGUAACUGUGCACAUCUUGACGGUACCUAAUCAGAAAGCCACGGCUAACUACGUG